GCGCUUUGCGAAUUCACAGGCCCUAUCUUGUGGUAUGAACUGAGUACGUGAUAAUUUCUGAUGCGUAUUGAGGGCUUACCAUAAGAUAAUGCCGUGAAUUCGUAAAGCGU
rfam:Oryza rufipogon genomic scaffold, chr07